rnacentral:rRNA from 1 species
UCAUCCGAGGCCCCGUAAUCGGAAUGAGAACAUCCUAAAUCCUUUAACGAGGAUCUAUUGGAGGGCAAGUCUGGUGCCAGCAGCCGCGGUAAUUCCAGCUCCAAUAGCGUAUAUUAAAGUUGUUGCGGUUAAAAAGCUCGUAGUUGGUUCUGCGUGCCACGCUGUCGGUUCACCGCCUGUCGGUGCAACUGGCAUGUCGUGGCAUGUCCUGCCGGUGGCGGAUAGGCUUCGCGGCGCUCCCUACACGAYACGUCAUGUAGGUCGUCGCGUUGUCCUUGUACGCCGACUCAAUCCUACCGCGGUGCUCUUUACCGAGUGUCGAGGUAGGCCGGCACAUUUUACUUUGAACAAAUUAGAGUGCUUAAAGCAGGCUCUUAAAUCAGCCUGAAUAGUGGUGCAUGGAAUAAUGGAACAGGACCUUGGUUCUAUUUUGUUGGUUUUAGGAAUCCAAGGUAAUGAUCAAUAAGGACAGGCGGGGGCAUUCGUAUUGCGACGUUAGAGGUGAAAUUCUUGGAUCGUCGCAAGACGCACGAGAGC